rnacentral:pre_miRNA from 1 species
GUAGUACUCCCUCCGUUCGGAAUUACUUGUCGCGAAAAUGGAUGUAUCUAGACGUAUUUUAAUUCUAGAUACAUCCAUUUCCGAGACAAGUAAUUCCGAACGGAGGGAGUAGGUG